UCUUGAUUUUACUCUCUUGUACUUUCCAAUAGGAUGGUGGUGGUGUAGAAAGAACACCUAAUUUGAGUCCAAAUAGUUCUGCCAUUUACUGCCUGCAUGUACUUGGGCAAACUUUAACUCUCAAGGCUUCAGUUUCUCCAUGCGCAAAAUGGGGCGAUUUAGGCUAGUUAAUCUCUUGGGUCCCAGAGGCUCUGGGUCCUGUGGUUCUAUGACAACAGUCUAGCAAGCAUCAGGGUUUUUUCUACUUUUUAAAGAAUCAUUAAUGUAGUUUUGGGAGAAUGUCAGUGCCUAGCACUAAAAUAAGGAACUUCAAACUCAUGAGUUCCCAACGUCAACUUUAAUUUGACCCUUCUGGUUCCUUGUAUAUGUUCUAUGAUUCUAUGUACAAACAAUGUUUAACAUCAAAUUCUCAACGUAUAGCUAUUAUUCAUGUUACCAGGUUACAGUUACCUUGGGAAAUGUAAGGAAGAUUCCGGAUUUGUGUUACAAUAAGGAGACCACACCUGUGAUUUCAUUGGUAUAGGGACCUCUGGUGUGGGUUUGGACCUUUUCUCUUCAAUUUCUAGUCUUACAUCCAUGCAUUGCCCCAUAGUCAGAAGCUGAAUGACUUGAAUUCAAAUCUUCCUUGGCUAUCUAUCCACAGCAGCAUAAUCCCUCUUAUGGAACUAAGCUUCCUGAUCUGUGUUGGAUAUUAUGAUCCAUGUGAAGAAAAUUCAAAAAGAACAGUAAGAUGCUAAAUCCAUAUUACAUAUUAAAGCUGUAAUCCUGGCUCCCAUCCAAGCAGGUUGUGGGGUGAAGAGGAGGCAGUUCUAUAUUGGGUGCUGAAUGUGGAAGCAGAUGCUCUUCUGUAUGGGCAAGGAGAAAUACCAAGUUUUAUGAGCCUACAUAAAGGGCAGAAUUGGUGCAGAGCUAUAUGGGGGAGAAACAUUCAUAGUUCCAGAUACUCUAAGGAAAAAAAAAAACAUGGAAAGACUGGAAACUGCAGAAAUGUAGAGAAAGCUGGCUCCUCAGUAUAUCCCUGAUACUGAGCUUGCCUUGGGUAGGAUUGGGCUUCUCUCCUGAUUAAAAUGAAGAUCUCAUCUCUCUACUAUUUUUUUAAAAGCUCAGUCUCUUAUGUAUUUUCUGAUAUAGUCUAAUUUAUAACUUUUCCAAUUUCUGUUUGCUGUUUGCUUAGAUAAAUGGAUUUACUCACUA